GACGGAAGGUGCAAGCGUUGCUCGGAAUCAUUGGGCGUAAAGGGUGCGUAGGCGGCUGGGAAAGUCUGGCGUGAAAGCCCAGGGCUUAGCCCUGGAAGAGCGCUCGAAACUGCCCGGCUCGAGUGCCGGAGGGGAGAGUGGAAUUCCUGGUGUAGCGGUGAAAUGCGUAGAGAUCAGGAGGAAUACCGGUGGCGAAAGCGACUCUCUGGACGGCAACUGACGCUGAGGCACGAAAGCGUGGGGAGCAAACAGG
rnacentral:rRNA from 1 species